GAGGGGGGAUUAGAACCCACGACCUCCGACUCCCAAGCCCGGGCCUGGGCCAGUAGGCCACGCUGCUUCACUUAAAUCUCUGCCCUAAAGCAUCACGCUGCGCCCCCUCCCCAGCGGCACAUCAUCUCCCGUCUUAAGAGGGGUCCGCCAACCGCUGUAGGAAAACGGGCCGUUCCAGACGUCGCCCUCCCCCGGGUCCGGAGGGAACCUUUGUAACCAGCCGGUAAAACUGCGAAAGGAAAAAAUCCCCUAGAGACGAUGCCAAGGUUGGCCCUCGUUGCCAAGGUUGUGCCUCCUUGCGGGAUGAGACCUGCCAACCUUCAGGUCCCCCCAGGAGCUCCCCUCUAGUCUUGGCUGUGUUAGCUGAUGUUACUCAUUUACCACCAUCAGUCCCGCGGUUAAAGAUUAAACCCCCCCCCCAACACCAGAUAAACGAAGCCCUUGUUGGUGCCUGGUUUUUAAUGAAAUGGAGGACGCCGUGUCCGGUGCAGCUCUCCCUUGACUGGGGAGGAGUUUGCUGGGCGAAUGGUAUCAAAUGGCAACCUUGGAUACUGAUUCAAGGGUCCGGAGAUGACUCGGUAAAAUCGGGCCGAAAUCGGGCCGUCUGGCCGGAAACGGACGGAUGUCUGAUGCGUACUGUGGUGAGCUUCAUUUGAUUGUUCCCUUACGUCCCGCCGUUGCGUAAUUCCUGUCACUGAGCCCCGAAAGCCUGAAAUACGGUGCUCUGGCUUCAGUCUUAAACUCUUGCAUAGCCCAUUGACAGGUGCUGUGUGUGAGUUUUAUUAUUUUAUUCUAGGAACAUCUCAGAAUCUGUCUUCACGGUGACCCUUCCGAAAAGUGGACCCGGCACCAAAUCUCAAGCUGGCACAAAGUGUCUUAAUUACAUAAUGCCAACUGCUCUUCUAACAGUGUCGUUGGCAGUCGGCUUCCCUCCUCGUUAACUGGCAAAUCCCAAAUUCCUCUGUCCCGGUAGCUGUUGGCUUGACAUUAGGUGGACACUUGCAUGUAUCUGUGGUGGUCUUUGGUGAAGUAACUCAUGGCAGCCGUAUGCAGAGACUUCCACUUCUUUCUUCCUUAACUGUUGAGGAGCUUGGGCAGGAAACGCGCAUGUACUUCAGCCGUGGCCAUGUGGGCUAAUGGUCACUUCCCUUUUUCCAUCAUUCCAGAAUUCUAGUAGGUGACUGGUGCUAAUCUCUUGUUCUCUGUAAUCUCCUACUAAACUAGGCUCUCGGGGAAGUCAUCGCUUUUUUUCAAGUGAAAAAUGGCAAAAGUAAGGCAAGAGACCGUCUCCUUUUACACUCUCCCACCCGCCGGUCUCUUGUAGGUGCCAAAACUUCCCCUUUAUGAAGCCACUGUCUCUAGUCCGUGCUAACUAGAGGGAAUAGCAUUUUGGGGAGUGGGCAGUCAUAAGUUUGAGAUAGAAUUGUAAAAGGAGCUGUGAAAAGCAGGUCCUUUUUAGAGUAGGAGACACUAGAAAUGAAGGUCUUCUCUGAGCGCUUUAUUCAAGUUCAAGGAGGAAAUACUGAUUAACCUGGUGUUGCUCGCUUUCUGUUUA